GUCAAUGGAAAAGUUCCUUUGUCCUGCUUCUUUCGUCGGAGGGCUAUCUUUGGGCUUUCCGAAAAGGUCUCACAUG
rnacentral:sRNA from 1 species